rnacentral:rRNA from 1 species
GAUGAACGCUAGCGACAGGCCUAAUACAUGCAAGCCGAACGGCAAGUUUGAUAGCAAUAUUGGACCUAGAGUGGCGCAAGGGUGCGUAACACGUAUGCAACCUGCCCGCGACAGGAGGAUAGCUCCCCGAAAGGGGAAUUAACCCUCCAUAACACCAUGAGAAGGCAUCUGAUUAUGGUUAAACCGCAAGGGGUCGCGGAUGGGCAUGCGGUUGAUUAGCUAGUUGGCGGGGUAAAGGCCCACCAAGGCGGUGAUCAAUAGGGGUUCGGAGAGGAAGGUCCCCGACACUGGCACUGGGAUACGGGCCAGACUCCUACGGGAGGCAGCAGUAGGGAAUAUUGGGGAAUGGUUGCAAGACUGAACCAGCCAGGCCGCGUGCAGGAAGAAGGCCUUCUGGGUCGUAAACUGCUUUUACCUGUGGAUAAAAUACCCGUGCGCGGGGAAUUGAAGGUAACAGGGGAAUAAGCCACGGCUAACUACGUG